UUAAAACUAACCGCACAAAACAAACAAACUAAUAAUAGAUAAUAAAAUUACUAUAAUAACAAAACCUUAUGGUGUGAUAACUUUUGGUUGGGGCAACCGCGAAGAAAAAAAACCCUUCGCCAAUAAACAAUAAAAAUAAACAAAUUUAAAAGCUUUAAAAUCUAAUAAAUGAUCCGACAACUUAGUUCGAUCAAGGAAAAAAGUUACCGCAGGGAUAACAGCGUCAUUCUCUCUGAGAGCUCAUAUUGACGAGAGAGUUUGCGACCUCGAUGUUGGANCGGGGCACCCCAGAGGUGCAGAAGCCUCUAAAGGUAGGUCUGUUCGACCUUUAAAGCCCUACGCGAUCUGAGUUCAGACCGACGUAAGU
rnacentral:rRNA from 1 species